GACUCGCAUGAGACCCUGCAGCGAGCUCUAGACCUUGGACUGAAUACUUCAGUCUCCAGUGUGCAAACAGACCCUCUGCAGUCUUCCACAUCCAGCUCUGUGGGUGGCCAUUGUGGGAAACUGCAUUAAGGAAUUAUCUAUGGUCCCACGAAGAGGCUGUGAAAGACCCACAGCUGGAACUCAAAUGUGAGACUCUUAUCACUCCUCCACAUCUGCUUUGUCCUUUGCACUUUAACAUUAUUAAUUUCCAUGGUCCUAUUGUAGCUUUGUUAGCAACACAAAAUGUCACUAAAUGUGCACAAAGCAUGAAAAUACACCUCCCCCCAAAAAAACGAAAAGAAAAUACAUCCCACAGUUUAAUAAUAUAAAAUUGUGAGAUGGACUAAAUUGUAAUAGAUUUACAUCCUAAAGGACCAUAAUUAGCAUGAGUUAAU
rnacentral:lncRNA from 1 species